UGACAGCAAGAGACACAAUCUUCAAACUAUUCCCUUCCAUCAGUGCUGUCCUCCUGCCGGUGUUUCUCCAACUAAUGCAGAUGGAGUGUUGAGAAUGUUCCAGGCCGAGCUGGCAGGGCCCUGUAGGCGUCAUCCUCACACCCCUCAGCAACAGGUGCUGAUGCAACUCUCUGGGGACAGUUUCUGAGAGCCGCUGAUCUGCACUGUCUCUACAGCCCCUUCCGGCUAGAAAAGGAAAAGCCCCAGAUCUUUUUGGCCUCCACCCAGCUCUUCCUCCCCAGAGAAGCCAGGAUGCAGCUGAAGUUCAGCAAUGGCUUCUUCUUGAGUUCAUUGGCCAUAGUUGUUUCACUACCUGGCAAAAGAAAUGGAAUCACCAUGAUUGGUCUAUAC